GUCAUCAUUUGCUCUGCAUCCUGGCUGGGCUGUGUCAAAAGCUACCUUCACUCUAGGUGAGGACACUUCCUAUCUGCCAACUGCAGCACACUGUUUAAUAUUUAUUCUAACAUAUCAAGUAAAAUAGAUAGCUAUUUCGCUUUGUUUUCUCUGGGUAAGGCUGCAGGUAUACACGACAGUGAAUAGAAAGGCUUGUGCAGUGGCUGCAAUAGUGUGCAGCUAUGGGGGACAAGGCCACAGAACUGCUAGUGCUGUUAAAAUAACAAGUGAGGAACUCAGGGCUGCACUGCUCCCACUUCCAGUUACGCUGUGUUUAGAGGAUGACUUGACAGUGCUUGCGGUGGUUGUGGUGACAAUCUUUCUCACAGUUGGUUUCGGUUCAUUUCUGUUUUCUGGAUGGGUUUUCUUGUCCUUGAGUAUAUCUGCUGUGUGAAUCCUGUCACCAGAUCCUUGGCAGCCAUCCUCAUCAUCACAGUCCCCACUUGUCUCCAACUCUUCGCUUCUUCCUCCCCCACUGCCAGCAUCUCGGGAAGCCCAUCUCUCCAGUUUUAAUUUUGCCUUCUCAGCAUCCAGUUGAUUAAAGUUCUGAAGUUUAUCAAUCAAAGUGCUGAUGAGUGGGUCUAGUCCUCUGACUUUCAGUUCCGGAUUAUUAAUUUGUGCCUUCAGUCCACUGGAAACAACUCUGCUGGUAUAACUUUCCACAACAUCUUCUCCAUUCCAGCAGGUUGAGCUGUCUCUCAUCACCAGGUCUCCAUCACACAGCCUUUCUGCUAUAGAGGCAUAAAAGGUUCGGGAUCGCUUCAUAUAAUUGAUGAAUUCUCGAGAGAUUUUUUUCAAACUUCUUGAUUUGUCAUUCUUUGAAGCCUUCAGAGGCAGAGAACUUCUUUUAUUGUUCAGACUAGCAUGGGCCAACACAAGCGUCUGGGCUUCAGCUGCUUCCUUCAGUGGCACUAUAUGGCCUGAUGACAGGUUCCCUUCUUGUUGUUUGGGCUGUCCACACACUUUAUCAACUGUAGCAGAAAGCUGUGGUCCAUUCAACUGUGCGUGCAGGAUGGCUUCGUUGAUGGAGUUCCAGAUUCCCAUCAGUGCCAUUUCCAGAUCAUGCGAGGCAGCCAUUUCGUUAGUCAGAUAUUCCAGCGUGGAGAUAUACUCCCUCCAUUGCAUAUCCAGUUCUGACACGCUGGCCAAGCAGCCCCUCAUCACAUUCAGACAGUAUCCAACACAGGGUCUGAUUAGUGUCAGACCCUGGCAAUGUGGGCAGUACUGCAUCCUCACUAGAGCUCUACUGCACUCCUUGGUGAGAGCAGCGUGUUCAGUAGUAUUU
rnacentral:lncRNA from 1 species